rnacentral:rRNA from 1 species
CGGCAACAGCUCAAAUUUGAAAUCUGGCUCUUUCAGGGUCCGAGUUGUAAUUUGUAGAAGAUGCUUCGGGUGUAGCACCGGUCUAAGUUCCUUGGAACAGGACGUCAUAGAGGGUGAGAAUCCCGUAUG